CAGCCGCCGCGGGAAUACGUAGGUGGCAAGCGUUGUCCGGAAUUAUUGGGCGUAAAGGGAGCGUAGGCGGAUCGUUAAGUUGGGGGUGAAAGCCCGGGGCUCAACCUCGGAACUGCCUUCAAUACUGGCGAUCUUGAGUAUGAGAGAGGUGUGUGGAACUCCGAGUGUAGAGGUGAAAUUCGUAGAUAUUCGGAAGAACACCAGUGGCGAAGGCGACACACUGGCUCAUUACUGACGCUGAGGCUCGAAAGCGUGGGGAGCAAACAGGAUUAGAUACCCCCGUAGUCCCUGUCUCUUAUAC
rnacentral:rRNA from 1 species